AUAUCCUCGUGUACCUGAGGUCUUUUGAAGGGAUGCACUGGCAUUACUUUUUUUGAGGCAAACUGUACCUGGAUGUUUGCAGAGGACUGAUGGGAGCUGCUGUGUGGCCUUCAGGGAGAUGCAGACAUCCUUUGAGCACACUUGUAUUUUCACAGCACAUCCUGGGGUUUAACCCACACCAGUGGGACUCAAGAAGGAGGACCAUACACCUAUCCAUGCCAUCAGCCCCUCAGCUGCAUGGGCUCCUGUCCCAGCUGGGCAUCAGGUGCACGUGAUAGACAACGUGGUGUCAGCAGAGGUUCGUAGAUCUGACCAUGCUGUGUGAGGCACAGCUCUGUGCUCUCUGCCACAAGUGCUGCAUUGUUUGAGCCGAGGAAACAAAGGAAUGUGCUCGUGUGCUGUUCACACUCUGCUGGACCCUCGAACCAUAAGAACAACACAUGGCCGGAUCCUUGUGUUCAGAUGCCCAGUUGAACUGAGAGGUAUUUCACUUAUGAGGACAAACGUUGGACGUAGAGGUAACAACUUAAGAAUGUGAAGUUUGUAUUACUGGGAAACUAUUCUCUGUACUCUGUUCUUCUCUGAAUUCCCAGGUUAAAAUCAAACAAUCAAAGCUGUGUAAGAGGAUCUCAUAAGGAUUCUAUUGAGUAGAUUUAAUUUAAUAAAAGCUACCAUUCCAUCUUAUUUAAAUUCUGAUUCUAACAACUGGUUAGAGGUCCAGGGGCACUGGACCUCUAAUUUCAGGUCCAAGGGCACUGAGAGCACACUGUAUUGAUCCCUGCAAUUCUCCAUAUCCUUCUGUGAGUGACAGGGAGCAAAUUAUAUCACCCACAACAGAGAAGCUGAUACGAGUGAGCCGAUACUUUGAUAACUGAAUGUAUAUGACAGG
ensembl:lncRNA